rnacentral:lncRNA from 1 species
GGGAAAAGGUGUCCUCGGGACACAGGGGCUCAGAUUUUCCCCUUUAAACUCAGCAACCCUUCCGGCAGCUGAAUGAUCAACGGCGAGGUAAGGACGAUGGAGCAGCUUCACAGAUCUCAACAGAGCUACCAACAGCAGGAGCCAAGGUCAGAACUCCGGCAGCUCAGAUCUUCUCAGGUAAUCACCAAACAGGGCUCCGAUGGUCAGGAAAAACCCGGUGAUACCUCCACCCACGUCAGGGAAUCCCGUAUUAUCAAGGAGUUACUCACAAAGGAAUAGCAGAGCCUUUCAGUCCUUGAUAAUCCGUAUUCCCGGCAUGAGAAAGCAUCAGAGAUUUAAAGGGAGGAGGGAGGAGCUGGACAGCAGUAAUGGAGAUGGAGGAACCGAGGGGAUGGGCGGUGGAGCGGCGGAGUAGAUGGAGAGUCAGGGAGAGAGAGGGAUUAGGGUUUGGGAGAGAGAGCGGCGCUGAGAGAAAUGAGAGAGAGUGAGAAGCGGGAGUAAUAUAUCAGGGGUGUGAGUGGGCUAGGGUUUGGGAGGGUGGAUGGGAGAUUGGGCUCGGUUCUGGGCCCUGAAGUUGGCCCAGACCCAAAAAAGAAAGGGAGAAGGGAAUGAGAAAUGGGCCAACCUCACAUAUCCACCUUUGGCACAUUGAUCAUUCUGUCACCAGGAAGGGCCAUCCAAUGAGUUGAAGUUAUCAUCACAGCACCAAUUUUUACUCUUAUCUGCCACAAAGUCAAGACAAGAGAGGGUGAGAGAAAUAUGAAGCAUAUUUAAUUCAAUCUCAAAACCACAGAGAUCAACCCAAGGGAAAUCACCAUUUCUCAAACCAGGAAGGUUAUCAUUGAAGACUCAUAGACACAACAAAACACUCACACACAGAAGAAAGAAAAAAGCACAGGGCAAGACACAAGACACCAUAGCAGAGCAGACACAACAACAGACCGGAACAAAAAACCACAGAGCAGAGGAGCAGACCAAACACACAGAGCAGAAGAAAGACAUGCAGAGCACACAAAGACAGAGCAGAGCAGAGCUCCACACACAACACAUGCAGCAAACAAGAAGACACCAAAAGAAAAGAAAAGAAACAAGCAGCCACAAAGGCUGAACUUGUUACUAAAAAACACAGAGGGAUCAUCCAGGACCAAUGUUCAAGAUCAUUUUGCAAGAUUCCAGCUUUGCAACUGGUAGGCAUUUAGUACCCAUAUCUGCAGGAUUGAACUCAGAGGGAAUUUUGUUCAGAAUAAUGUCACCCCUUUCCACAACAUCUCUGAUAAAAUGAUACUUAACAUCAAUGUGUUUAGUUCUAUCAUGGAAGACAGGAUUUUUGCAUAAUUGUAUAGCAGACUGACUAUCAGAGAAGAGCACAGGUUUAUCAUCAACAAAGUUAAUCUCAGAGAGCACACCAUUCAACCAUAUAGCUUCUUUUACAGCUUCAGUAGCUGCUAUAUACUCAGAUUCAGUAGUAGACAAGGCCACAAUACCUUGUAACUGAGACUUCCAACUUAUGCAAGCAUCACACAAAGUAAACACAUAAGAAGUAGAGGACUUCCUAUUAUCCCUGUCAUUAGCAUAAUUAGAAUCCACAUAACCAACACAUUUCACACCAUUUACCAGACUUUGAGAAAAGCAGACCAUGAUUCAUAGUGGAUUUCAGAUAUCUAAAGAGCCAUUUCAUAGCUUCCCAGUGAGGGAGACCAGGAUUUGACAUGUAUCUACUCAAGCAAGAAACAACAUAAGCAAUAUCAGGCCUAGUGCUAAUCAUCAAGUACAUAACAGAUCCUAUAGCAUUAGCAUAUGGGAUGUUUCUCAUUUCUUCAAGAUCAGAGUCAGAGGUGGGACAUUGCUUCUUACUCAGCUCAAAAUGGGAUCCAAGAGGCACAUUGACAGAGUUACAAUCAAACAUGUUGAACUUAUGCAAGACUUGCUUCACAUACUCAGACUGAUGCAACAAAAGGGUACAAUUCUCCCUAUUUCUUUCUAUGCACAUGCCUAGGAUCUUUUUGGCAUCUCCUAAGUCUUUCAUGUCAAACAUAUCACAAAGGCACUUUUGAACAUGUUGUAUGGUUUUCAAACAUGGACCAAGGAUAAGCAUAUCAUCAACAUACAAAAGCAAGAACACAGGAGACUCACCACUCAAGUGAUACAAGCAAUGAUCAAAACUGCUCCUAACAAAGUUCAAGCUUUUCAUGCAUUGGUCAAAUUUCAAAUUCCAUUGUCUUGGAGACUGUUUUAAACCAUAUAAGGACUUUUUGAGAAGACACACAUGAUCAGGGAAGUUUUUAUCAACAAAACCCUCAGGCUGUUUCAUGUAAAUAUCAUUUUCAAGUUCACCAUGCAAGAAGGCAGUAGUGACAUCCAUUUGUUUCAAUUCCCAAUUAAAAUGAGCACAUAAGAGCAAGCAUAAUGCGCACAGUAGUGAAUUUAACAACUGGAGCAAAUAUCUCAUUAUAAUCAAUGCCCUCUUUUUGUGUAAAACCUUUUGCAACAAGCCUAGCCUUGUAUCUGACAUUUUCCACCUCAUUUUUUAUCUUAAAUAACCAUUUGCAUUCAACAAUAGAACAGUCAGCAGGUUUAGGAACCAAAAUCCAUGUAUUGUUGUUAUGCAGAGAGUUCAUUUCAGAUUCCAUUGCAGUUAACCACUUAGCAGAUUCAUCAGAGUUAACAGCCUCAGAAUAAGAGCAAGGUUCAGCAUGAUCCACAUUAUUAAACACAUUGAAAGCAUACAUAGACAUGUUGUAAUCAUCAAACCUAGCAGGCUGCCUAACAUGCCUUCUUUCUCUAUCUCUUGAAAGUUGAUAAUCAUUCAAAUUAUUAUUCACAGGCACAUCAUUUAGAGCAGGCUCAUUCACAGUGGGUUCAGGAAUCAAUGGUUCAGGGGGAGGGAUAGGUUCAGGGUUUGGCUGGGGUUCCACCUCAAAAGGAAUCACAGGAGUAAACAUAAACUCAUAUCUAGCAGAAUCAUAAGCAUUCAAGUUCUCCACCUCACUUGGAGCAGCAGAUUGUGAGGAAUUCAGCAAACAAGGAAAACUCAAUUCAUUGAAAGAAACAUCUCUGCUAAUGCAAGUUUUAAACCCAGGUACAGACCUAUCCCACAGCCUAUAUCCUUUAACCCCUUCAGGAUACCCAAGAAAAAUGCACUUCUUAGCUCUAGGCUCAAGUUUGUCAAGAUUUUGAUGCACAUAUGCAGCACAACCAAAGACUCUCAGGUUUUUCAGCAUAUGGUUUAUUCAGAACACAGACUCAGGCAAUUUACCAAGUAAAGGCACAGAUGGAGACCUAUUAAUCAAGUAGACAGCAGUCAUAAGGGCUUCACCCCAAAUGCUUGGACAGACCAGAGCAACAAGGAGACUCCUAACUCUCUCAAGAGAGUUCUAUUCAUUCUUUCAACAACUCCAUUUUGUGUGGAGUUAAGGGACUGACUUAUGCUAAUGAUGCCUAACUCAGAACACCAUUAUCCAUGGAAUAUUCAAAAUCAAGACCAUUAUCAGUUCUAUGCAUUUAAUCUCUUUCUGUUUGUUUUGAAUCUAACAGCCAUUUAGACAGUUUUCAAACACAUCAGAUUGUUUUCAUAGAAACACCCAAGUUUUUCUGGAGAAAUCAUCAUCACAGACAGAAAUACACAUUACCACCAUGAGUGGGCACCUUUGCAGGGCCCCAAACAUCAGCAUGCAAAUAUUCAAGAAUUUCAGUGCUAACAUGUUUUCUGGGAUAGGGAACAGAAAUAGGGAAUGCAGAUUUAUGAUGCUUUCCUAAAAUGCAAGGUUCACAAAAGGUGAUGUCAGAAAUCUUGUCAUUUCCAAAAGAACCAGCCUUUUUCAAAAUCUCCAUGCCUUUAUUGCUUAUAUGACCUAGUCUAGCAUGCCAAAGUGCAGACUUAUCAUCAUGAACCACAUUUGCAACAUGUAAAGGCACAGACUCAGCAUGCACAGCAUACAAAUUACCCUUCCUAAGUGCAGAAAAGAAGGCUCAGAAUCUUUCUUGAAUUGAAAACUCAAGUGAUCAACAGAUCCAGUUAUCAUGUUAUCAGCAAUUUGAGACACAGACAACAAACUGAACUUCAAGUUGGGAACAAAUCUGACUUCAGUCAAAGUAAGACACUUUCCAUUUUCAAAUUUUAAGCACACAUCACCCUUCCCAAUGAUUUCACAAUUCUGACCAUCUGCUAAUGCAACAUGCCCUGACUUAACAGGUUGAAGAUUAUGAAACAUAUGCUCAAAAGGAGUGACAUGAAAAGUGCAGCCAGAGUCAAUGAGCCAUUCACUGGAACUCAUAGUUUUUGAAAUAGCAUUUGAGUAACUGAUGAACUGAAAUCAUAUCAUGCAUCAUGUAACACAUCAUCCUCAUACACAUUUUGGCAUUUGAUUGGCUCUUCAGGGACAGGUUGCUUUUCUGCUUAGGAGUUUGCAUCUAUUUAUAAAAUGACCAGGUUUUCCACAGUUCCAGCAAACCUUCCUAGGCUUUUGGUCAGGGUUUUGGUUCUGGCUUUGACCUCUAUGCUCAACUUUCUGAUUAUAAGGUCUCAUGUCUUUAGGUUUUUCAAAGUUCUGACCCCUAUUGAAGUUCUGGGGUUGGUUCUUGUUGACAUACAGGAUUUCACCAUGCAAGGGUUUUGACUUGACCAGUUUAAGCUCACUCUCUUUAGACUUAUGACCAUUUGUGAUCAUUUCACAAGUAACUUUUGCACCACCAUAUUUCAAAGCAGAUUUUACCUCAGCAAAAGGCUCAGGUAUGGAGUUUAAAAGAAUUUGGGGAGCAUAUUUUUCAAUGGAGUCAUCUCCAGCAAGUUUUAAAUCAUGCAGCAGUUUAUUGAAAAUAUCCAUGUUGGUAUCAACAUCCUUUGAAGAAUCCAUUUGAAAAGACAUAAAUUGAUUUUACAAAGACCAAGUUGACACUUCAGUAGGUGCAGCAUAUAUAGCAUUCAAGUCAUCCCACAAAUCUUUAGCACAAGCAUGGUGUGACACUUUUCUGACCACAGAACUACACAGAUUUAGCAAAAUUGUGGCUCUAGCACUAUCAUUCAUUUCAUGCAUCCUAGCAUCAGUAACUGACUCAUCAAUCUUAGUGGUUAUAGCCCUUUUUACCUUUUCUUUACCAGAAUGCACUCUAUCUUGAUUUUCCAAUCCUGAAAAUCAUCUCUGCCAUUAAAUGGCACUACAUGCAUGUUGUUCAUGAUUAUGCAGAUGCAACAAGCAAGAAACACACAGAGAAAAGACACAGAGGAAGCACACAACAAAGGGAGGUCAAAACUGACCUGGAGAGGAUCCACUUAGAGUUAAAGAGCAGUGGAGAGCCCAGAUCUCAGCACAGAUUGAUCUGUGGAGCAAGGUUCGCACUGGUCACCCUAGAGGUUCCAGGGACUACUAGUCCACAAACUCUCAAUCCAAGGAGUUUUCAAGGCACAGACCUUUUCAGAGAACCAAACACAGAGCAAAAGUAACAAGAAAACAAGACACAAUCAGCCAAACUGGAUGAAUCCCUUUCUCCCUUGUUUUCCAGGAUACUCGCACGAGGAGACUCCUUUAAAAGAGAAUCCAGACGAACUGGACCGUAGCAGUAAGGUCCGGACUUGGUUUGGAAUACCAAGGGUCAGCCGGUUUAAGCAAAAGUGGAAGCACAAACGGCACAGGAAUGCAAGACACCAAAAAAGAUAAAAGAAAAGCAGCACCUUGACCAAGCCUAGAUCUAGGAGCUAGGGUUUCAGCCGCUUUACCAGAGCCAGACACUUCAGGAGGAAGAGCUGGACUUACCACUUUCCUUGCUCGUCGGGAGCGAAUCGGCGCAGCCAACGGGCGGCGGGGUGGGAAAGAUGUGUUCGGAGGGCCCUGGCUAGGUCACCGUGGCUCUGAUACCACUGUUGGGUAUCUUCGCCUAGCCAGGAUUACACCUCUUGUUUCCCGAACCUCCUGUCAUCCCACUUCGUGCUCAAGCAUUUCUUCUUCUUCUAUCUUCCUUUUAGAGAUCUUCAACUCCUUCGGUCUCUUCUUCUUCUCUCUUCUUCCACUGCUUCACCUUCCUGUUCUUCUUCAGAUCUGCACAACAGAAAAGAAAGCAAGUAAAAGAGAUACAUGAGAUAUAAAGAAGAAAGGAAUCGAGAAAGAUAUAGUUUAGAGAAGGGGAAAAGGUGUCCUCGGGACACAGGGGCUCAUAUUUUCCCCUUGUACUCAGCAACCCUUCCGGCAGCUGAAUGAUCAAGGCCAGGGAUGGACGACGGAGCAGCUUCUCAGAUCUCAACAGAACCGCCAACAGCAGGAGCCAAGGUCAGAACUCCGGCGGCUCAGAUCUACUUAGGUAACCACCAAACAGGGCUCCGAUGGACAGGAAAGCCCGGUGAUACCACCACCCACGCAGGGAAUCCCGUAUUAUCAAAGAAUCAACCACAAUUGAAAGGAAUAGCAGAGCCUUUCUAGCUUUGAUAAUCCGUUAUCCCAACAUGAGAGAGCAUCAGGGAUUUAAGGAGAGUAGCAGCAACGGUAGGGAGAAUCGCCAUUGAAGGCGCUGGAGAAACCAAGGCAAGAGGGCGGUGGAAAGGAGGGAGGAAUCGAGGAGUUGGAGAGAGAGAGGAGAUGAUAAGGGUUAAGUGGAGCGGCGCUGAUAGAGAAGUGAGAGAGAGAGUGGGGCGGGGUAGGGUAUAUCAGAGGG